rnacentral:tRNA from 1 species
UAGAUUAUAGCUUAAUAAAGUAUUUCAUUUACAUUGAAAAGAUAUUAAUUUAAUUAAUUGAUCUAA